CGUUCAGGAGGCUAGGUUAGAGUGGGGUUGCAGUUUUAAAUAGGAUGGGCAGAGUGAGCCUGAAAAGGUGACAUCUGAGCCAACAGAUGAAGAAGGCUUUCGAGGAACUGUGUUCAGGCACAGGGAACCGAGAGCAUCAGGGCUCUGGGUCCGAGGAUGCCUGCACGAGGAACAGUGCCUCUCUCAUCCCUGAACUGAUGUCAGAGGAACUAGAAUGGUGGCGAUUAAGCCUUGGGGAGCCAGCCCAGCCUCCCUCAGCCCAGGAGACCCAUCUCAAACUUCCAGAACUCCUGGGACGUCUGACCUUCCAGAUCUGCCAGAUAAUAAACGUGUGUUGUUUCAGGCUGCUCAGUGUUUGCCUGAAUGAUCACUGUUGCCUCCAUCCCAUGCUGGACCCACGGACGGUGCUCAGAAAGGACCUCAGAACCACUCAGGCCACGUGGAGGCUGAUACUUGUUUCCAUUUCUGAGGGAAACACAGAGCUUCCAGAGGCUGCCCACACGCUUUGGCUCCUGGCCCCUUCCUCCACCUUCAAAGUCAGCAGUGGGACCAUUUCGUGCCCUCCAUCAGAGCGAGCCUCCGCAGGUGGAGACGCAGCCCCCUCCUCUUUGUUAGAGGAGGAGAGAACCGAGUGGGUGUCUGCUCAGAAGGAAUUCUCAACACGGCUGCCAAGAGAGGAAAAUAUUCCCCCAUGACGUUACAUAAGAGCUGUGUGUUGGACAGAGAAGCUUCUCCAACAAAGGAAAAUCACUAACCACAGGCAAUUCUGGAAACCAUUUUCCUCCAAGAGCUCCAUCCUAAUGUGGGAAUCGGCUAAGUCCAAAACAAAUGGUUGACCAGAGUCAGAGGAAGAUGAGAUUGUCAGAAAUCUAUGAUGCAACCACGUGGGAUUUCCUGGCAGCCAUUUCUCCUGGCCCCUGAUCCUGGGAUAAACCCAGCACCACACUGGACAAAGAGCUAGAACAAUAUGGUGGACUCAGUAGGACUUUGCAUCUGGCGGUCCCACAGUAAGUGUCUUCGGCUGGCUGCAUUGGCUGUAGGAGCUUGGGUUGUGAUCUCACGAUUCCUGAGGCCAAGCCUCCUGUCGGGCUCUGCAGCUGGUAUCACAGAGCCUGCCUGAAAUUCUCUCUCUUCCC